AUACGGAGGGUGCAAGCGUUAUCCGGAAUCAUUGGGUUUAAAGGGUCCGUAGGCGGACUAUUAAGUCAGAGGUGAAAUCCCACAGCUCAACUGUGGAGCUGCCUUUGAUACUGGUAGUCUUGAGUUAUAUGGAAGUAGAUAGAAUGUGUAGUGUAGCGGUGAAAUGCAUAGAUAUUACACAGAAUACCGAUUGCGAAGGCAGUCUACUACGUAUAUUCUGACGCUAAGGGACGAAAGCGUGGGGAGCGAACAGGAUUAGAUACCCUAGUAGUCC
rnacentral:rRNA from 1 species